UCACCCUUUGUCAAUUGUCUGAAGUUAAAAGGGCUCUGUCCUUACCCUAAGGAAGCAUUAUCAAUCCUGUAGAAAGCUGCGUGUUGUUCUUAUGUGCCAUCAAAUUGCUUCUGACUUAACAGUGAUGCUUUAGAUUAAUGAUCUCCAAAAGGUGCUGUCAUGAACAGAAAGAUUCCUUGACUACCGGCGUCAGAGGAUAAAUGAGGCCUGUCUCUGCUCAAAAGUUCAACAGUCCCGGGAAUAUCAAACUUUGAGACUUGAAAUCAUCACCCUCUGUAAUUCAGCACUAUUCACUAUUGAACACAUUUCUCUUUUAAUCAGAACCAAACAAACUGUAAUGAGAUGGUUUCAGUACUUAAUUCACCCGAUUCACUGGUUUUUCAAGACCUAAGGAAGCUAGGAAGUUACUAUGGUGUUUUUAAGCCACGUGUUGUAGUGGUGGGCUUUUCCAAAUUGUCAGAAGCCAAAGUGGUCUAAAGUCCCCAAUGGUGUGGCAGCCUUCUUCUUUGUACCUUGUCAUCCUGUUCCAGACAUGGGGGAUCAUCCAGACAAUGGCUUCAUCUUGCACGCUGAGUACAGGUGUGUGUUAGGGUUCAUAUUGAGCAAUAGCACCAAACGUCAUCAGCAGGUCAGCAAAAACAAAGCUCCCCUCCCCACAAACUCAAGCAUGGCCACCAUCACUCAGGUUAUUAGCUAGCUUGACUUUUUCACCAGCUAAUGGAAAAUUCCUCCCUGACCUAAAAUAUGGCAAUCCAUCAUGAUCACAGCAUAACCCAUCUAUUAAGUGUUUGAGAAGGAAAGUUUACUAGGCCACUG